AUGUAAGUGAUUAGCAUAUUAAUAAAUAAAAGUCAUAAUAAAAGAUUUUAAAUUAGACUUGAAUUGAAUAUGUGAAUCAUUUGUAUGUGUUUCAGUGAAAUAAACUGAACCCAUGUGGUGUACACAAGUUCAUUUAAAAUCCUUAACCACAGCCCCAGAGUGAAAUAAAGUGUAUUUGCUGGAGCCACCAUUAGUCAGACUUUUUAAUUAAUAGACAUCCUGUUCCUUGGCUCUCCUUUGAAAAGACGAAAGGCUGGAGGUAGCAAGGAGGGAAAACAGGCUAAAGACAGUGUAAUUAGUUAUUGAGUGAGUUGGGUGCCUGCUGCAGUGGGCAGUGUCGGUGCUACAUGAGAUUUUAUUGGGUGGGCGACACAAGUCUAUUUACUUUCUGUCACCUCUCGAGACACCCAUGGCAGUUUUAGAUAGUGUCAGGCAGUCUGGCUUUGCUGUCCAUCAGCAACAUUCUCAAGUCCAAAUGUGGAAGAUGGGGCUUAACCUUUAGAUCAAUGAAAACACAGAAUAUACCUUAAUGAUAAUAAAUCAAUAGUUUUCUUCUUGUGUAAAAAGGCUUUUUUUGCUGAAACGGAAAUAACACACAAAAAAGUUGUCACCCCUGUCAAAUAAAAGCUCACAAGACUCAAAAGUCUUAUAAAUAUGAUCCAGUAAAGAGCAGCAUAUGUGAGCUAAGUGAAUCUAAAUACCUGCAAUAUUGGACAGAGUGAAGCAGCAGUGUGGUUAUGAGAACAUUUUGGCAGUCACGUCUGUUAUGCAGAGCAGGAAACGGGAGCUCAGCGUUGUUGAGCAGUCAGAACAGGUGGGAGGCUUGCAUGCAUUUGUGCAUGUGCACAUGUUUAUGCACCCAGCUCGUGUGUUUGUGCAUGUUGGUGUAUUUGUUUACGGGUCCCAGAGGUGCACAAGUGCAAAGGAGAGAGAUAUGCUGUGUUGGCAGAGUGCACAAGACUAAUGCCUGAAACUUGGACACUUGUACAGUCUCUGUUUUCCCUCUGGCUCAGUGCUGGACAGCGAUCACAGGGAAGCAAAGCAGAGGAUCCAGGAUGGCUGAAAAUGUCAGGAUAGUGUCGUGGAUGAGAGAAGGAGGACCCAAACGCUGGACUCACAGGUGUAACCAUGAUCAUCUUUAUACAUAUUGCCGUUUGGUGCUUAUUAUGGAGUUGUGCUCACUUCAGUAAGGGUUAAAAGCUACAGUCAGCGGGAUGUCUGGCUGAUCUAUUGAGGGAAGUGACGCAGAGCGUAGAAGGCCGCACAUGCUUGCAAGACACUUACAUCAUGUUAUUUUAUGAUCCUUUAUUUAGAUAUAUCUUUUGUUAACCUUUAAGUAGUGUGUAUUGGCAAUAAUUACUCAUUAGUUCAUUUAUGUAUCAUCAUUAAUUGUUACUUCAUUAGAGAAUUUCUUUAGGCUGUCGGCCUUAUGUUACAACUUGUAUUACAGGUAUUGUCAUGAUUCCAUAUUAACAUUUUCUAUUACAGGUGCAGUGAUAAUUCUUUUGUAUA